rnacentral:rRNA from 1 species
UACGAAGGGGGCUAGCGUUGUUCGGAAUUACUGGGCGUAAAGCGCACGUAGGCGGAUACUUAAGUCAGGGGUGAAAUCCCGGGGCUCAACCCCGGAACUGCCUUUGAUACUGGGUAUCUCGAGUCCGGAAGAGGUGAGUGGAAUUCCGAGUGUAGAGGUGAAAUUCGUAGAUAUUCGCAAGAACACCAGUGGCGAAGGCGGCUCACUGGCCCGGUACUGACGCUGAGACGCGAAAGCGUGGGGAGCGAACAGG